rnacentral:tRNA from 1 species
CAUUAGAUGGCUGAAAGUAAGUAAUGGAAUUUUAAACCAUUUUAUAAUAAAAUAACGCUUAUUUCUAAUG